UAUAUUGGCAAACUAUUUUAAAGGAUAGGACGCAAAGCUAGAAGUCUAAGGCUAUAUAUAAGUAGGUAUAUAGCUAUGAUAGUUCGGCUGC
rnacentral:ncRNA from 1 species